GAGUUUGAUCCUGGCUCAGGACGAACGCUGGCGGCGUGCUUAACACAUGCAAGUCGAACGAUGAAGCCUUUCGGGGUGGAUUAGUGGCGAACGGGUGAGUAACACGUGGGCAAUCUGCCCUUCACUCUGGGACAAGCCCUGGAAACGGGGUCUAAUACCGGAUAACACUCUGUCCCGCAUGGGACGGGGUUAAAAGCUCCGGCGGUGAAGGAUGAGCCCGCGGCCUAUCAGCUUGUUGGUGGGGUAAUGGCCUACCAAGGCGACGACGGGUAGCCGGCCUGAGAGGGCGACCGGCCACACUGGGACUGAGACACGGCCCAGACUCCUACGGGAGGCAGCAGUGGGGAAUAUUGCACAAUGGGCGAAAGCCUGAUGCAGCGACGCCGCGUGAGGGAUGACGGCCUUCGGGUUGUAAACCUCUUCAGCAGGGAAGAAGCGAAAGUGAC
rnacentral:rRNA from 1 species